UGGGCAGUUUAUUGCAAAAACAGAAUGAUCCCCCUUCACAUUGAACUAGUGCAUAAAAACUUCACAAAUGAUCAAGAGAGGAAAAAGGACUGAAGGUUUAAGCUAGAAAGUUUCUGGUGAGUUCUUAAUCAGUUUUUUUUUCAACAAAUGUAAGAGAGUUCUAUAUAUGUACAUACAUGUAUAUAUACAUGCACGCACACACAUAUAAUACACAAAUCCUUUUCUAAUGCAAAAAAGUA
rnacentral:lncRNA from 1 species